CUUAUUAAGCCGUUUACACUGUUCUACUUCAUCAUCACAACACUGUUGCUGCGGCUGUGGCCGUCUUCAAAAUAGGUGGCAGAUUUGUUAUUCCUUCACCUCACUCCUGGGUUCAUUACGGCUACGACGAAAGAGAACGUGUCAGAAAAGGGGCUUCAACACAUAUUUUAUCUAACGUUGCAAUCUGGCAUUGCUGCUUUAUGCUCUAGGUUCCUUUAACGGAUUGACAGUUGGUGACUUGGUGCAAUUCUGAUCUGCUCUAGCAGUUCAGGUUUAUUUAGAUAAAAAAAAAAUAAAGGAAGAAGAGGAGACCAUUGCCAGAUUACAUUCAGAAGGUCCAAAAGGAAGUAAACCUGUUAAAAUACCUAUAGAUACUACUAUCAAGCAUUUGGAAGCUACGGUAACAACUAAUAGGUUGGAUAUGGAGAGCUUGAACUCGAAGUUGGAAGAGUUGCAUUGUGUGUCUUCAUCUUUAAUGAAGCUGGACGUGAAUGCACAUCAGCACAUAUAAUUGGUACUAAAGACUGCAGGUCUCUUUUAGCUGCACUACGUAUUGGCCUUUCUCAUGCCUUUUUGAAAAGUUAACUGAAAUAUGUUCACGCUUUUGUCGUGCUACUUUUGUAGGAUUACCCAAUAUCAGUUAAACUUCUUCCAUCCCUUCAAUGGCUUUUGGUAUCUAUUAUCUAGAUGUAUUUCAACUUGGAUGUUGCAGAUACAUACAUACUAUCUUUUGUUAUGUUGCCAGCCUUACAUCAUCAAUGAAGUAAUACCUAUCUAA